rnacentral:rRNA from 1 species
AACGAACGCUGGCGGCAGGCCUAACACAUGCAAGUCGAGCGGACCUUUCGGGGUCAGCGGCGGACGGGUGAGUAACGCGUGGGAAUAUGCCCUUCUCUACGGAAUAGUCCUGGGAAACUGGGGGUAAUACCGUAUACGCCCUUUGGGGGAAAGAUUUAUCGGGGAAGGAUUAGCCCGCGUUGGAUUAGGUAGUUGGUGGGGUAAUGGCCUACCAAGCCGACGAUCCAUAGCUGGUUUGAGAGGAUGAUCAGCCACACUGGGACUGAGACACGGCCCAGACUCCUACGGGAGGCAGCAGUGGGGAAUCUUAGACAAUGGGGGCAACCCUGAUCUAGCCAUGCCGCGUGAGUGAUGAAGGCCUUAGGGUUGUAAAGCUCUUUCAGCUGGGAAGAUAAUGACGGUACCAGCAGAAGAAGCCCCGACUAACUCCGUG